UCCGUCCCUGUUCCGUCCCAGUUCCGGUACAAAACCCGCGUGUACAAACAGACCAACCUGGAUGAGAAGCAACUGGCCAAGCUGCACACCAAGACUGGGGGCUGCGUAAGUUCCUGGACUACGUCCAACACGGCUCCGCUGAUAAAGUCGCCCGGCUGCUGGAUCGUGGCCUGGACCCCAACUACCACGACUCCGACUCGGGGGAGACCCCUCUGACGUUGGCAGCGCAGCGGGACGGUCCCGGGGAGGUUGAGAUCAUUCGGCUGCUUUGUCUGGGGGGGGCACACCUGGAUUUUAGGGCCCGCGAUGGGGCCACGGCCCUACACAGAGCGGUGUGCACCAGGAGAUACCCAGCACUGCUGGCUCUGCUGGACCUGGGCGGCUCCCCCAACUACAAGGACCGUCGUGGGUUGACGCCCCUCUACCACACGGCCAUGGUGGGGGGCGACCCCCGCUGCUGUGAGCUGCUGUUGGCCCAUCGGGCCCGGAUCGGAACCGAGGAUGAGAACGGAUGGCAGGAGAUCCACCAGGUGCUGAACCACGGCCACCAGAGGGACAUACAG